UAUAAGACUGGGAUAACUUCGGGAAACCGGAGCUAAUACCGGAUAAUAUAUUGAACCGCAUGGUUCAAUAGUGAAAGACGGUUUUGCUGUCACUUAUAGAUGGAUCCGCGCUGCAUUAGCUAGUUGGUAAGGUAACGGCUUACCAAGGCAACGAUGCAUAGCCGACCUGAGAGGGUGAUCGGCCACACUGGAACUGAGACACGGUCCAG
rnacentral:rRNA from 1 species